rnacentral:tRNA from 1 species
CUUGCAGGCCGAGGGGCGUAUGAACACCAAGAACUGCUAAUUCUCGCCCCUCAAAGUUAAAAUCUU